rnacentral:rRNA from 1 species
UACAGAGGUCUCAAGCGUUGUUCGGAUUCAUUGGGCGUAAAGGGUGCGCAGGCGGCCAAGUGUGUGAGGCGUGAAAGCCCGGGGCUUAACCUCGGAAUUGCACCUCAAACUACAUGGCUAGAGCAUUGGAGAGGGUAGCAGAAUUCACGGUGUAGCAGUGAAAUGCGUAGAUAUCGUGAGGAAUACCAGAGGCGAAGGCGGCUACCUGGACAAUUGCUGACGCUCAGGCACGAAAGCGUGGGGAGCAAAAGGG